rnacentral:lncRNA from 1 species
AUAGCAGAUACAAAAAGGACUCUCUGACUGUGCCCUGGACCAGGCCAUAGAUGCUUUAUGUGAGAGGUGCCCUCCAUAGACUCAGAGGAAAGGAGACUAUCUCCAAAACAGAGAGACACUGAGAGGAAGCUGAAUGAACAGGUCUUACCAAGGUUCCCCCAGUUUGCACCUAGCUAAUACCCCUUCAUCCUAUCCUUUCCAGUCUUCAUCAACUCUAGUCUAAAAACACACUGGGUUAACUGUUUCUUCAGGUUUUCAUUUGUUUAUGAAGGCUCCUGUGACACAUAAAACAUAUUAAAUAAAUGUGUAUGUUUUCUCUUAUUAAUAUGUUCUUUGUUACAGAGAUAUUUUUCGUUUUCUACACCAUGAACAGAGGAAACAGGAGACAAUUAUUACAAUUAUUUCAAGAAGAAAAAUCAAAUGUUUAAACAUUUUGCAACUUUCAGCUUCAUUGGCAAAGAUGCUUUUGUCUUUUGUCAUGCUGUUGUUAGCUUAAAGCAUCCUGUGUCUUCCAAAAGAAAUCUUGACAGACGAUUUUUUUCUUUUACUUCUACUUCAAUUGUUAAUUGCAUAUUUACAAUCCUUCAAUCAAGAGGCAAAGAGAAAAAGAUUAGAAAAAUUUUCUAUCUGUCAACAGAACUUUGUACCAUAAUGAAACAUCUACUCAUUAAAUAUAGAGAACUUCAUGGCAUCAAUAAUAAGUGUUAUAAAGGGCACAAAGGUAUUAUUAAUUCUAAAGGAAUGCAGGACUGGAAAAACAAUAAGUCAUUUUGACAGUUGCUAUGAAGACCAUUACCAAAUGUUAUGUUUACUUGACUAGGCUCAAUUUAUAAAACAAGACCUACAAAAAGAAUCUGCAGUUUAAUCAAUUGAGAUGUGCUAUUAUAAACAACUGCUAAUGGACUGAAGCUUUGCAUCCCUUUUUAAUGAUGGAAUUGUGAUCGCAUUGUUAAAAAUUAGGGUAAUUACUAGUGUGGGCAGUUUAUGUGCAUUUUAAAAAG